GCCAGUGUGGUGUAGUGGUUUGAGCGCUGAACUACAAUGCUGGAGACCAGGGUUCGAAUCCCAUUUUGGCC